rnacentral:rRNA from 1 species
CGAGGGGCAGCGGGGGAGUAGCAAUACUCCCGCCGGCGACCGGCGCACGGGUGAGUAACACGUAUGAAACCUGCCCGUAGCAGGGGGAUAAGCGGAAGAAAUUCCGUCUAAUACCGCGUAACAACCCUUGGAGGCAUCUCCUCGGGUUUAAAGGAAGCGAUUCCGGCUACGGAUGGUCAUGCGUCGCAUUAGCUUGUUGGCGGGGUAACGGCCCACCAAGGCGACGAUGCGUAGGGGUUCUGAGAGGAAGGUCCCCCACACUGGUACUGAGACACGGACCAGACUCCUACGGGAGGCAGCAGUGAGGAAUAUUGGUCAAUGGCCGCAGGGCUGAACCAUCCCAGUCGCGUGAGGGAUGACGGUCCUGUGGAUUGUAAACCUCUUUUGUCAAGGAGCCAAGGGCGUUACGUGUGGCGCUUUGCGAAAAAAACUUUUUUUGCAUCGGCUGGGGGGGUGAAAACAGCCGCGGUAAUACGGAGGAUGCGAGCGUUAUCCGGAUUUAUUGGGUUUAAAGGGUGCGCAGGCAGAAUGUCAAGUCAGCGGUAAAAUUUCGGGGCUCAACCCCGUCGUGCCGUUGAAACUGGCGUUCUUGAGUGAGCGAGAAGUAUGCGGAAUGCGUGGUGUAGCGGUGAAAUGCA